UAGUGCUCAUUGAAUUUCCAUCUAGCUGUUAACCCUGUUGUCAAUAACAAUAAGAAUAAUAAUACUUUUAUUCCAUUAAAGCAAUAACAAUGCAAUAGGAAACGUCAAUAAAAAUAUAACAAGUCGAUAAACGUCAUUAAUACUAUAACAA